rnacentral:rRNA from 2 species
AUCAACUUUCGAUGGUAGGAUAGAGGCCUACCAUGGUGGUAACGGGUAACGGGGUGUUAGGGCACGACACCGGAGAGGGAGCCUGAGAAACGGCUACCACAUCCAAGGAUGGCAGCAGGCGCGCAAAUUACCCAAUCCCGACACGGGGAGGUAGUGACAAUAAAUAACAAUACGGGGUUCUUUCGGAUCUUGUAAUUGGAAUGAGUACAAUUUAAAUCUCUUAACGAGGAACAAUUGGAGGGCAAGUCUGGUGCCAGCAGCCGCGGUAAUUCCAGCUCCAAUAGCGUAUAUUAAAGUUGUUGCAGUUAAAAAGCUCGUAGUUGAAUUUCGGGGUCAGUAGGUUGGUCGUGCCACUGGUAUGUACUGGUCUCACUGAUUCCUCCUUCCUGAUGAGCUGUAAUGCCAUUAAUUUGGUGUUGCAGGGAAUCUGGACUGUUACUUUGAAAAAAUUAGAGUGUUUAAAGCAGGCUAACGCUUGAAUACAUUAGCAUGGAAUAAUGAAAUAGGACGUUCGAUCCUAUUUUGUUGGUUUCUAGGAUUGACGUAAUGAUUAAUAGGGAUAGUUGGGGGCAUUAGUAUUCAAUUGUCAGAGGUGAAAUUCUUGGAUUUAUUGAAGACUAACUACUGCGAAAGCAUUUGCCAAGGAUGUUUUCAUUAAUCAAGAACGAAAGUUAGGGGAUCGAAGACGAUCAGAUACCGUCGUAGUCUUAACCAUAAACUAUGCCGACUAGGGAUCGGAUGAUGUUAAUUUUUUAAUGACUCAUUCGGCGCCUUACGGGAAACCAAAGUGUUUGGGUUC